UGGGGAAUUUUGGACAAUGGGCGAAAGCCUGAUCCAGCAAUGCCGCGUGUGUGAAGAAGGCCUUCGGGUUGUAAAGCACUUUUGUCCGGAAAGAAAUCCUUGGCUCUAAUACAGUCGGGGGAUGACGGUACCGGAAGAAUAAGCACCGGCUAACUACGUGCCAGCAGCCGCGGUAAUACGUAGGGUGCAAGCGUUAAUCGGAACUACUGGGCGUAAAGCGUGCGCAGGCGGUUUGCUAAGACCGAUGUGAAAUCCCCGGGCUCAACCUGGGAACUGCAUUGGUGACUGGCAGGCUAGAGUAUGGCAGAGGGGGGUAGAAUUCCACGUGUAGCAGUGAAAUGCGUAGAGAUGUGGAGGAAUACCGAUGGCGAAGGCAGCCCCCUGGGCCAAUACUGACGCUCAUGCACGAAAGCGUGGGGAGCAAACAGGAUUAGAUACCCUGGUAGUCCACGCCCUAAACGAUGUCAACUAGUUGUUGGGGAUUCAUUUCCUUAGUAACGUAGCUAACGCGUGAAGUUGACCGCCUGGGGAGUACGGUCGCAAGAUUAAAACUCAAAUGAAUUG
rnacentral:rRNA from 1 species